UACGAGGGGGGCGAGCGUUGUUCGGAAUUAUUGGGCGUAAAGGGUGCGUAGGCGGUUUGGUAAGUCUUGUGUGAAAUCUACAGGCUCAACUUGUAGUCUGCACGAGAAACUGCCGGGCUUGAGUAUGGGAGAGGUGAGUGGAAUUUCCGGUGUAGCGGUGAAAUGCGUAGAUAUCGGAAGGAACACCUGUGGCGAAAGCGGCUCACUGGACCAUAACUGACGCUGAUGCACGAAAGCGAGGGGAGCAAACAGG
rnacentral:rRNA from 1 species